CCUGUGCCGGGCCGGCCCAUGACGAUCUCCUUGCGGGGGGGUCCCUGCUGCUGGGGGGGGGUCCCGAACUCUCCGGGCACGAGCAGCGGCAGCAGCGCGGCGGGGGAGGGGUGGAACGGCACCGGCUGCAGCGGGGGGGGCGCCCCGAACGGGGGGGGGGCCCCGGGGGGGCCGCGCUCGGGGCCGGCCCCGGGGGGGGGCGGGGCGGAGCCGGGAGAGGGGCGGAGCCUCCCGGCGUUGAUUGGCACCGGCGCGGCCAGGGGGGGCGGCGGGGGGUGGGGGGGCGGAGCUUUUUGGGGAGGGGGCGGCCCCAGGGGGCGGGGCCUCGGAGGGAGGGGCGGCUCCGGGAGCGGCACCUCGGGGUUGCGGACGAUGACGGGGGAGCCCCGCGGCACCGGCGGGACCCGGCGGGCACCGGGGCCGGGGUCGGCCGUGAGCCCCGCGGGGGAGCGGGGGGCGAAUAACGGCGAGAGGGCGCGGAACAUCGCCCCGCCCCCCGCCCCGCCCCCCGCCGCCGCACCGGGACCCCCCCCAUCGCCCCCCUCCCCUAUCGCCGUCUCCGCUUUGCGCUUGCCGGGGCUCAGCGGCACCGGGAACGGCAAACCGGGCUGGAAAACGGGCGGGACCCCCGAGGGGGGGCGGGGCCGGGGAGGAGGGGGCGGGGGCGGGGGCGGGGGCGGGGGGCUCAGCCCCUCCCCGGGCCGGGGGGUGCCCGAGCUCAGGUGCCGCCCCCGGGCCCGCGGCGACGCCGUGACCGGGCUGAAGUUGGCGGGGCGGAACCCGAACAGCGGCGACGGCGACGGCGACGGCGUGGGCGAGAACGGGGACUGCGUGGAGGCGGGCGAGAAGCUCGGCGUGCCCGAGCGGGACGAGCCCAGCGACACGAGCAUCACGGCGGCCUCGCACUCGUCGAACUCGAAGCGCGACAGGUCCGGGUUGGGCGGCCCCGGGCGCGCCCGCGCGUCCCCUUCGCUCUCCCGGGACGUUUCGUCGCCCCACUCGAAGUCGGCGCUGCCGCCGCGCUGGCUCGGGGGUCCCGGCGGGCCCGGGCGGGGGUCGGGCAGCCCCUCGAGCUCCUUGGUGCGCAUGGAGAGGUGGCGGGAGCAGAAGCCGCGCCGCUGCGACUCCUUGGUGCAGCCGUCGCGGGAGCAGAGCCGCCGCCACUGCUUGCCGUUGAAUUUCUUGCGGAUGCCGUUCGGGGUGCAAACCACGUCGCCCUUCUUGUACUUGGGCUGGGGGGUCCCGCCGGGCUGGGCCGGGGGUCCCGCGGCUCGCUGAGGGGUGGGGGGCUGCUGCUGCUGCUGCUGCUGUUGUUGUGAUUGGGGCGCAGCGCUCAGCUUGGAAACCUCCGCGUCCUCCGGCUGCCGCGGCGCGCCUUCAUCCUCCUCAUCCUCGGCGCCGUGCAGCGCGGCCGGGCCGGGCUCGGGGGGCCACGGGGGUCGCAGCAGCCGGAGCCCCGAGCGCGGCACCCACACGGGCGGCGCGGGCGGCGGCGGCGCGAAGCGCACCCGGUACGAGGGCGGCUUGGCGCUCACCUCCACCACGGUGCCCGGCCGGUAGAGCGUCUCGGCGGGGUCCAGGCGGGCGCACACGGCCGUGCCCACGCCCAGCGCGCCCGCCGGCGGGGUCGCGUCCAGCACCACGGCCGGGGGGUCCCCGAGCAGGAAGCCGCCCUCCAGGAAGGUGACGCCGCGGUCGCCGGCGAACUGCACGCCCAGCUCGUGCCCGCCGCGCCGCAGCUGCUUCACCACGGCCGGGCGGAAAACGCCGUCGCGCCGCGCCAGCACCCGCUGGCACCGCAAGCGCCGGAACGCGGCCUCGAGCUCGGGGGGCUCCGGGGCGGGGAGAGCGCCGGGGGGCGCGGGGAGACCCCCGGGAGCG
ensembl:lncRNA